ensembl:lncRNA
CUAAGUACAUGAGCGGCGGCCUCUGAACUGUAGCCAGGGUCCCCAGCUCCAAGCCAGCUCGCUCUCCUUUCCAGCACAUUCUGGCCGACCUCUCAACGGCCCAGCACAGCCUGGGUGGGGGAAGCAGGAAGCCGCCGGGCUCAGAUGGGAUGGCCGCCGCUCCCCAGCCAGGGUGGACAGGCCUCUCUCGGAAGCCAAGCUGUUUCCUCGCAGAGACAAGAGACAGACAAUGAGCGUGACACGGUGUAAUUACAGCAAACACGCAUUGGCGGCGAGCAGCAAUCAUGAGACAACUGUUGAGGAUUUCAGAUGCGCUUGGCGGUGGCUCCUGGAGCGCAGCGCGAGGAACCGCAGCUCCAGUUGGCCCGUGCUGGCCCGAAAACAAGGGAUUUGCAGAAGUCGGGAGCGGUGUGUUGGCACGGUGUCCACGCCAUGUCGUUCAUCAGCUAUUUCCUUGAUAGCGGGUUGCGUCUUACCACCAAGCCAACCGACUGACUCAUGAGUCAGUGACUUAAAAAAUAAAUAAAUACUUGAGGCCAGCUGUGCCCGCCGAGCAAAACCUGUCAGGCUGCAGACAAAGUGGGCCCCUGCCACUUUCCCGGGUGGUUUCAUUUUUCCUCUUUUUGUCUUCUUGUUUGAAAACUAUGAAAGUGAAACCGCACACCUCCCCCUGAAAGCUGCUGUGUUCCCACGGCUGGAGGAGGUGGGUGGGGGCGAGUCUCCCGCUAGCAUCAGCAUUGCCCUUCCGCAGGCCCCAGGGUCCGGCCACGCGGCUGGAACCCAGGCCCUACUGUGCCUGGCUCUGAGCGAAGGCCUGCACAGGGAAGUGGCCAAAACCCGCUGUUAGGUGGCUACAGUACAUGGCCAAGAACCCACACAGGUGUAGCUAGAUUCGUCCUCCCAACAGGUGAUGAGGAAAAUAGUGAUGUGUGUGGGAAGUGUGUUAGUCACUCAGUCACGUCCGACUCUUUAUGACCCAAUGGACCAUAGCCCUCCAGGCACCUCUUUCCAUGGGGUUUUCCUGGCAAAAGUACUGGAG